rnacentral:rRNA from 1 species
AAUAGAUACCCUGGUAGUCCAUGCCGUAAACGAUGUCUACUAGCCGUUGGGGCCCUUGAGGCUUUAGUGGCGCAGCUAACGCGAUAAGUAGACCGCCUGGGGAGUACGGUCGCAAGACUAAAACUCAAAUGAAUUGACGGGGGGCCCGCACAAGCGGUGGAGCAUGUGGUUUAAUUCGAUGCAACGCGAAGAACCUUACCUGGCCUUGACAUACAGAGAACUUUCCAGAGAUGGAUUGGUGCCUUCGGGAACUCUGAUACAGGUGCUGCAUGGCUGUCGUCAGCUCGUGUCGUGAGAUGUUGGGUUAAGUCCCGCAACGAGCGCAACCCUUUUCCUUAUUUGCCAGCACUUCGGGUGGGAACUUUAAGGAUACUGCCAGUGACAAACGUGGAGGAAGGCGGGGACGACGUCAAGUCAUCAUGGCCCUUACGGCCAGGGCUACACACGUGCUACAAUGGUCGGUACAAAGGGUUGCUACUGCGCGAGCAGAUGCUAAUCUCAAAAAGCCGAUCGUAGUCCGGAUCGC